UUUACAGAUGAGGCCAAGUCGCGCACAGAGAAGUUGUUAACUAGUUCAGUCACACAGCAAGUCCGGUGCAGGUGGCAGUAAGAAUCCAGAUUGCAGCAUGGCUGAACUGAGAAGUGCGUCCUACUCCAUCAGUCAGGCUCAGGUCUUCCGGCGGCAUGAUAUCAUACUUGUUCUUGCUGGAGUUCCCACAGCCUCUGAAUAACAUGAGACCAAACUGAUCGCUCACGAACCCCACUCAGGACUUACAUAAGCCAUGACUUUAAAGACAGAAGAAGUAAUUUGUAUUUUCUUGGUC